UCCUGGCUCAGGAUGAACGCUAAGCUACAGGCUUAACACAUGGCAAGGUCGAGGGGCAGCAUGAACUUAGCUUGCUAAGUUGAUGGCGACCGGCGCACGGGUGAGUAACACGUAUCCAACCUUCCGUUUACUCAGGGAUAGCCUUUCGAAAGAAAGAUUAAUACCUGAUAGUAUGGUGAGAUUGCAUGAUAACACCAUUAAAGAUUUAUUGGUAAACGAUGGGGAUGCGUUCCAUUAGGUAGUAGGCGGGGUAACGGCCCACCUAGCCUGCGAUGGAUAGGGGUUCUGAGAGGAAGGUCCCCCCACAUUGGAACUGAGACACGGUCCAAACUCCUACGGGAGGCAGCAGUGAGGAAUAUUGGUCAACGGGCGAGAGCCUGAACCAGCCAAGUAGCGUGAAGGAUGAAGGUCCUACGGAUUGUAAACUUCUUUUAUACGGGAAUAAAGUUUCCUACGUGUAGGAUUUUGUAUGUACCGUAUGAAUAAGCAUCGGCUAACUCCGUG
rnacentral:rRNA from 1 species